GAUGAACGCUGGCGGCGUGCCUAAUACAUGCAAGUCGAGCGAACAGACGAGGAGCUUGCUCCUCUGACGUUAGCGGCGGACGGGUGAGUAACACGUGGAUAACCUACCUAUAAGACUGGGAUAACUUCGGGAAGCCUGAGCGAAUACCGGAUAAUAUAUUGAACCGCAUGGUUCAAUAGUGAAAUACGGUUUUGCUGUCACUUGUAGAUGGAUCCGCGCCGCAUUAGCUAGUUGGUAAGGUAACGGCUUACCAAGGCAACGAUGCGAAGCCGAACUGAGAGGGUGAUCGGCAGCCCAGCAACUAAGACGAGCUGCCGCCUUGGAAGUGAGGCACGAGUAGGGCACCUACGGGAAUCAGCGAAAGCUUGAAGGAGACAAUCCGGGUGAGUCAGAAGGGGCUUCGGAUCGUAAAAGUAUGUUAUUAGGGGAGAACAAAUGUCUAACUGACUAUGAGAGUAUGGACGGUCCUUAAUAAGAAAGCCCCGCUAACCUGCGU
rnacentral:rRNA from 1 species